rnacentral:ncRNA from 2 species
UUUAGUUUCUGGGGACAGGUGCAAUUCCUUACCGGCGGUAAAGCCCGCAAGCCGCAAGGCCGAUUCGUUGAAAUUACGAAGCCGACAGUUAAAGUCUGGAUGGGAAGAAACGUUU